GACGAACGCUGGCGGCGUGCUUAACACAUGCAAGUCGAACGGUAAGGCCCUUCGGGGUACACGAGUGGCGAACGGGUGAGUAACACGUGGGUGAUCUGCCCUGCACUUCGGGAUAAGCCUGGGAAACUGGGUCUAAUACCGGAUAGGACCACUGCCUGCAUGGGUGGUGGUGGAAAGCUUUUGCGGUGUGGGAUGGGCCCGCGGCCUAUCAGCUUGUUGGUGGGGUGAUGGCCUACCAAGGCGACGACGGGUAGACGGCCUGAGAGGGUGACCGGCCACACCGGGACUGAGAUACGGCCCAGACUCCUACGGGAGGCAGCAGUGGGGAAUAUUGCACAAUGGGCGCAAGCCUGAUGCAGCGACGCCGCGUGAGGGAUGACGGCCUUCGGGUUGUAAACCUCUUUCAGCACCGACGAAGCGCAAGUGACGGUAGGUGCAGAAGAAGGACCAGCCAACUACGUGCCAGCAGCCGCAGUAA
rnacentral:rRNA from 1 species